GCACCAGUGGUCUAAUGGCAAGACCUGGGCCUUCCAAAUGCGGACGGUCCCCGUUCGCGUGAAGACAGCCCAUGAUCCGAGUUCGAUUCUCGGCUGGUGCA
rnacentral:tRNA from 1 species